GGCAGCGCCACACGGCGGCGCAGUGAUGGAUGUUAACAGCAGCGGCCACCCGGACCUCUACGGGCGCCUCUGCUCUUUCCUCCUGCCGGAGGUGGGGGGCAGGCUGCCCGACCUGAGCCCCGACGGUGGCGCCGAACCGGUCGCGGUCUCCGGGACGCCGCAUCUGCUGAGCGGGGGCCCCCGAGGUGACGGCCAGCCCGGCGCCCACCUGGGACGCAACCCCGGGCAAUGCCUCCGGCCGCGGGGAGCAAAUCAAGAAAGGGCCGAGAAAGUUGUGAUCGGCUCUGUCCUGACGCUCAUCUCUCUGCGAUCGCGGGCAACUGCCUGGUGGUAUCUCCGUGUGCUUCGUCAAGAAGCUCCGCCAGCCCUCCAACUACCUGAUCGUGUCCAUGGCGCUGGCCAACCUCUCGGUGGCCAUGGCGGUCAUGCCCUUCAUCAGUGUCACCGACCUCAUCGGGGGCAAGUGGAUCUUUGGACACUUUUUCUGUAACGUCUUCUCCAUGAAUGUCAUGUGCUGCACGGCCUGGAUCUUGACCUUGUACGUGAUCAGCAUCGACAGGUACCUUGGGAUCAUGAAGCCUCUCACGUACCCUAUGAGGCAGAAGGGGAAAUGCAUGACGAAGAUGAUUCUUUCUGUCUGCCUUCUUUCCGCCUUUGUCACUUUACCUACCAUUUUUGGUCGGGCUCAGAAUGUAAACGAUGAUAAGGUGUGCUUGGUCAGUCAAGACUUUGGCUACACGAUUUACUCCACCGCAGUGGCAUCCUAAUCCCCAUGUGCGUCAUGCUUUUCAUGUACUAACAGAUUUACAAGGCCGCCAGGAAAAGCGCGGCCUAACACAGGUUACCUGGCUUCCCUCGAGUGGAGCCAGACAGCAGUAGUCACCCUGAAUGGCACAGUGAAGUUCCAGGAGGUGGAAGAGUGUGCAAACCUUUCGAGACUCCUCAAGCAUGAAAGGAAAAAAUAUCUCCAUCUUUAAGCGGAAACAGAAAGCAGCGACUACCUUGGGGAUCAUCGUCUGGGCCUCCACCAUGUGCUGGCCGCCCUUUUUCCUCCUGACAGCCAGACCCUUCUGUCUAUGGCACUGCCUGCAGCUGCAUCCCACUGUGGGUGGAGAGGAUAUUUCCAUGGCUGGGCUAUGCAAACUCUCUCAUUAACCCUUUUAUUUAUGCCUUCUUCAACUGGGACCUGAGGACCACCUAUUGCAGCCGGCUCCAGUGCCAGUACCAGAAUAUCAACCAGACACUCUCAGCUGCAGGCAUGCAUGAAGCCCUGAAGCUUGCUGAGAGGCCAGAGAGACCUGAGUUUGUCCUACAAAACUCUGACUACUGUAGAAAAAAAAGUCAUGAUUCAUGACUGAAAGAGGGAUAAUGGAGAUGAAAUAAACAAGGCAAAAUAGAGGUGGAAACAGAAGAAAGUCAUUUGCCAAGACUGCAGAAUGGAAUGCAGCUUCUGUCCUUUCUUAGGAUGGCUAAAACGUGACAAACAGCAUGACCUGAUGUACAACAUAUCUUAUGAGGGAGAUGGUGACCUCUCCUUUUUUCUGUGGAUCAGUGUUAUUGUGUGUUCUCAGUUUAAGAUAGCAGAUCAUCUCAGCAGUAAGCACACUGACAGAAUUGAGUUCCAGAAAGGAAGCAGUUUCAGGUUCUUAGCACAUGUCCAAAUCCAUGCAAGUGGGAGAAAGUUCCAAUGCACACUUUCCAUGCUUCCGAGUCUAGGUCUCGUGGUGAAUAUUCAGCAAUCAUUCAUGAGAAAGAAUGUAUUUUGUUGUAUGACAGAAGGGUUUACCAAGCAAACUGUGGUAAGCAUAGUAUCGAAUAUGUUGCAUGUCCAUUUUAGAAAACAGAGCCCAGUCAUCAGCUAAUACAAAUGAUUUCCCAGAGCAGUGUUUGUUUCAAGCUUCUGUCAAAUAGUUUGGCUUUUCUGCAGGGUCCCUGUAACUUCCCCACAAAUGUACUUCUUUGUUAAUUCACUUAUUGUUAUGGUGUGGCUCAGGAACAGGUCUCAGGAUGGAGAGCAGCAUACAACCUGAACAAAGCUUUUUCUUGUGCUCUGAAGGGUCCUGAGACGUGAGGGGGAUGCCUUCCAUGAGGAUUUUUAUCUCAGUGAAGUGCGAGUGGUACCCACCUGUAUUGUCAUUAACAUGAUUAUUGGCAUGUUUUUGACUCUCAUUUUUCACAAGGGUGCAGUGGGGCCAUGGACCAUCCCAUGGGAUGGUCCAUAACUGUAUGUUAUAUGGAAAUAGUGUGGGAAUAAUGGGUUUUCCAUGAAAGGUUGUGAUGCUUCUGGAGAUGGGGGCAUAAACGUGUUCAUUCUUGUUGAGCAGCAUUGUGUUAAACCAAAUUGUGUGAAGUGGAGGUCACCUGGACCACUCCUGGGAAAUGCUCCAGAACACCAGUCUGUUCCUUCUAGAAAUUUGUUCUCUGUAUUUAUUUUUAUUUUUUAUUUUGAGGCAGUGUCUCACCCAUCCUGUCUCCCAGGCUGGAGUGCAGUGGUGCGAUCUCGGCUCACUGCAACCUCUGCCUCCUGGGUUUAAGCAAUUCUCCUGCCUCUGCCUCCCAAGUAGCUGAGAUUACAGGCACCUGCCACCACACCUGGCUAAUUUUCGUAUUUUUAGUAGAGAAGGAGUUUCACCAUGUUGGCCAGGCUGGUCUCAAACUCCUGAUCUCAGUUGAUCCACCUGCCUUGGACUCCCAAAGUGCUGAGAUUACAGGUGUGAGCCACUGUGCCCAGCCUGUUCUCUGUAUCUUAAAUCAACUCUGUGCCAAAGCAGUUCUGUCCCCUGACUCCCACCCCUACCCACCAAAAAGUGGUAGACAUGAAGGGCAGGUAAGGGAACAGAAAAUGUCUCCUUGCAGCUAUAUAUAUUUUAAACGAACUGUGUAAUAAGUAUGAGCUAAGGAGACAGAAAGACAGUAGAUGAGAAAAGAAGAGUACCUAUACCUACAAGGGGCAAAAUGAAUGCAAUCCUUCAUUUGAUAAGAGAGAACUGAAAGAGAAUAUUAUUUUUCUACAAUAAAGCAAGCUGUCCUCUCAGGAUAAAGUGGAAUUUCGACAUGGAUUAUGGACUUCUUCCAACUCCCAUUGACAUUGCUUCUUACCACACAUGGGGAAGGGCUGCCUUUCCUGAAAGGGGAAGAAGGCACUGUCCUUUCAGACAAAGUUUGUACAAAUUCCUGAACUGCAGAUUUGCUAAUGUGACCGCGUAUACUUAUAUUCAUAAUUUAAGUGAUUGUUUAUGGUCAGAUACAUAUUGUUAAACUUGAAAAUGUUUUAUUACAUUACAUCAAAUAAAGUCUAUUUGUAGCUGAAAAAACUAAAAAUAAUAAAAAGGAGGAAACUGAGGCUUAAAACAAUUAAGUAACUUUCCCAGGCAACAACUAAUGUGUGGCUUGGUGAGGAUUUGAACUCAUGUCUGUGUUGUCAGCGUCCAUAAUGCUUUGUACUCUGUCACCCUGGCUUUUCCGACCUGUAUCUACAUCUACAUAUGGCACUGCUUUCCAAAUACUUUCUAAAUG
rnacentral:lncRNA from 1 species